rnacentral:tRNA from 1 species
GUGGGUGUAGCUCAGUGGUAGAGUGCAAGAUUGUGGAUCUUGUUGUCGCGGGUUCAAUCCCCGUCACCCACC